rnacentral:lncRNA from 1 species
GUGAGCUCUUGAGAGCACAGUAUUAGAAGAGGCAUUCCGGGGUAGGCAUUUGGGGUGGGUAGGAGUUUACUGGUGAAAGCAAAAAGAAUUUGGGUGCUAGUCAGACAGGAUAUUAGCAUCAAGAAAAAGAGUUUUCAUUUUUUUUGUUCGAGAGUCAGAACAGCGUUAGAUGUGGAAGGGAGGGAGCUUCUGGGCAGGAAGAACUGAAGAUGCUAGAUUGAUUGAGUUAGAUAUCUGAAGAGAUGAGACAGAGGAGGUUCCCUAGUAAAAGUAAAAUCUUGGCUUUGGUGAACUGAGGAGAAACGUCUUUCUUUAAGACUCAAAGGAAAAAAAAUCAGAGGAUAAAUUUAAUGAAAUUGAUGUGGAAAUAUCUGUUGAGCUUUGGUCUUGUGAGUCAAGACAUUUUUAAUUGGAUUGUUUGCUAUUACUUGGACUUUGGUCAACCUCACACUCAACUCUGUCUUUCCAAGUCCCUAAACUAGCUUCUCCUCUUGUCUUCUUUAUUCCUAUUACUGGUAUUUUCUCUUUCCUAGGGUUGAUAUUUAACACCUUGGUAUUGUCUCUGAGGAGUCUCUCUUCUAACUAUCUCUGUUGAAUUAUCUUUCAUAGUGAGCCCAUACUCUUCAUUCUCAGGGCUUCUGCCCUAUGCCAGGAGACCCAUUAUGGUGCCAUGGACUCUUUCAGUAGCCUUUAUUCUUGCCCAUUGGAAUUGGCUCUCUCACCCCCA